AGUUCUGGGCUCUGCCCUCUUGUGUGGCCUGGUUUGCCCUCUUCUUCCUUUCCUAGGCCCCCUUGUCUCCCCUGGCUCUCACAUACUCUUUCCAGCUGCCUCCCAAGCCAGCCCUGCAGUCUGAUGAACAUUCUAGAGUAUGUGGACACAGAUGGACGCUCUGGCCACAGGCUCUGGCUCUUAGGUUCCCUGGACUUCUCCACACAUCUCCUUCAUCCAGUGUGAUCCUCCCUACGGGUCUCUUCGCUGCAGCUCAGGUCUGAUCUAGGAAGAAGAGUGGGCUUAAUUGGGAGACGGGAUGAGGGUAUAAAGAGGAGACUUGGGGGGCCUGGGCUCUUCUUUCUGUGGCCUCCUUAUGCCCAGAAUCUCUCCCUUUUCUGUUUCCUCUGCUCAAGCUGUGUGUUGGCUUCCCAUCUCUUCUGACUGCAUCUGAUUGACUGGCCUUUC
ensembl:antisense Mhrt myosin heavy chain associated RNA transcript